GCGGCGGCGGGCGGGGACCCCCGACGGGACCCCCCCGGGCCGGGCAUCCCCCACCCCCGGGCCGGGCAUCCCCCCCCCCCGGGCCGGGCAUCCCCCGGCGGGGCCGCUCCGGGGGUGCCCCGGGGGGGACGCGCUGCCCCGCGGGGGAGGCUCCGCCCGCGUCCCGGGGGGGCUCAACCCCGGCUCCCUCCGGGGUCCCGGGGGUCCGGCUCCCUCUGACGCCGAGGGAAGGGGGCGAGGGGCGCCCCGGCCCCCCCGAUGCCGCCCCGUCCCGCUGCCGGGGGAGCGGAGCCGCCGGGAGCUGCCGGGGGAGAUCCGAGGGGGGGCUGCGGGCCCGGGGGGCACAGAGGGACCAGUGGGGGACAGGUGGGGACCCCGAUGCCGCCCCACAGCCCGACCUCCCGUCCGGGACCCCCGACCCAGCACUCACACACAGAGAAUGACACCGGCACGGGGAGAGGGGGGACCCCGGCAGGGACACCUCAGUCAGGGGGACCCCCGACAGGGGCAUCGCCGUCACGGGAACCCCCCCGGCAGGGACAGCUCCGGCACAGGGACCCCCGGCAGGGACAGCUCCGGCACAGGGACCCCCGGCAGGGACGUCACCCCGAGCAGGGACCCUGCAGGUGGGGACUCGCGGCCACCCCGAGCUGGGGACACCCGAGCCGGGGGGUCCCCGCGCCCCCCGCGCUGGGGCCGCGCUCACUCCCAGCCGGGGGGACUGAGAAGCCCCGGCCGAGCUCUGAGGUGUCGUGUCCGUCCCCCCCCCUUUGCCGGCUGUAUCCCCACAGCCCCGCGCGGCUGGAGAGCGGGAUGAGGAGGAUGAAGGAGGGGAGGAAGCAGAAAGUGCCCGCGGGGCCAGUGCCCAUCCCUGGGGACACGUCACCGUGUGCUGUCCCCUGCCACCCCACGGACUCCCCCCAGGCACCCCCAGGCCAAGCAGGGGGGCAGGGAUUGGAUGGAACAGGGAUGGAACAGCGACAGGGAGGAAGCAGGAACAGAGAGGGGGCAGGAACGGGGAUGGAGCAGGGAUGGGGAAGGGGCAGGGAAGGGGACAGAGCAGCUACAGGGACGGAGCAGGGACAGGGAGGGAACAGGGGCAGGGAUGGAGCAGGGAGGAUACAGCAGCAGGAGGAUAAUGGGGAAAACUCACGGCUCACUGGCAGGGACAAGGACAAGCAGGACAGUGGGAGCCCGUGGGGGAAGGUCCCCGCCGGGUCCCCCCUUCCCGAGCCCCCCUGGGAGCCCCUCACACAGAACCCCCCCGUUCACAGCGAUGGCUCCGCAGGGCUCCCACCCCUGAGCCGGAGGGACUCCCCUUCCCACCCCGGGAUCGAGGGGAUUUGGGAUCGCUGAGCUGCUCCCCACGGCCCCGUCCCCCCCUCGAGAGGACCCUGGGGCUGCCGGGGCUGUGACACACUCACAGCUUUAUUCCCAGCAGCAGCACAAAACCGGCCUCUCCCGGAUCCCGGCACCAUGGGAACAGGGACACCACGGGAACAGGGACACCAUGGCAGCGGGAACACUGGGACAGCGGGGACACCGUGGCAGCACAGAUACCAUGGCAGCGGGGACACCGCGGGUUAUGGGACACCGUGGAAGAAGGGACACCGUGGAAGAAGGGACACCGAGGGAACACGGACACCCUGGGAACAGGGACACCCUGGGAACAGGGACACCGAGGGAACAGGGACACCGAGGGAACACGGACACCCUGGGAACAGAGACACCCUGGGAACAGGGACACCGUGGCAGCAGAAGGGCAGCAGCAGAAACGUUUCUGCCACCACAGGGUGGGCCCUUGCUGGGUUUUGCAGGGCAGUGACACCCCCGGCCCCCCAAAGGCUGCAGGAGACCCAGGGACACCCCCAGUCCCGGGGGCUGUCGGAGAGGGGACGGGGUGCAGAGGGACGGGCUGGAACAGCUGCUUUCCCUGGAAAUGUUGGCAAAGGUCCUGUCCCCCUGGAGACCCAAGUGGAGGCCUCACAGCCCCGGGUGUCCCCCACCCACGGGGGCUCCACGUGGGGAUGCAGCGGUGUCGGACACACUUCCCACCAUCCUGCCCUCGGAAAACACCCCCUGCAGCUCUGGGAAAGGCAGGAGGAGCAGCUCUGCCUCCAGCCAGACCACUCCAGAAGGUUUGGGAGGGGGGAGGAAUCAUCCCACCUCCUCCAGGGGCAGCCGGGGGGGAAUUCAAGGGGGCCCAGGAAGUCACCACUGCAAGUUUAUAAAAGCUUUUAUUUGCUCUUGGUACGACCAAGAAUGGGACAGUGAUCUUUUAUACAAUUUGAUACAGUAAGUGGUACAAAAGAAUGUGUUUUAAAUAAAAAGCCAGAGUGGAGUAGCAAAAAUAUUAAAAGAUUAAGUAAAAAAUUGUCGCAUGGGAAUUAAUCCAAGACCUUGAUGCUGUUUUUAUAAUUCCACCGUCCGAGGGCACGAGGCCCCCACGGCCCGUGACACUCGUGGGGCAGAGCCAAGCUCAGGUUUGGUUUGUCGGGCCCGAUUGAGUCGUUUUGACAGGUUUUUGUGGCAGGAAGGCAGCGCCGAGCCCCCCGUGGGCAGGGCCAGGAGCUCGGCAGGGCCUUCCCAGGCAGGCUGGGACCAGCAGGGAGUUCAGACACCAGCACAAAUCGAAUCACCGCAAAUUCCUCCAUCAUCGUUAUUUUUUUUGGGGUGUUUAUCUCUUUUCAGCACCGGCACCGACUCGUGCUGCUCGAGCCCACGCCCGCGGGUACAGCUCGUGGUUGGACAGGAACAGAAAAUAGACCAAAUAGAAAGAUUUCAGUUUAUUAACCGGGCAGGGGGAGGGGGUCGGGGGCGGGACCAGCGAGUGGCCUGGGCUCCACCUGGGGCUCGCACUGGGCACGGCAGCGUCUACAGAGGGGUCACACGGAGGGAGCCGAGCCCCUGGAAGCGGGUAAGAAGCUCACGUUUAAAACAAGGAUUAUACAAAAAAACCCCUUGAUGUAUAUUCGCCAUUUUUUUUCCCUUUUUGAUCACGUUAGAAAGUGCAGAUUUAACCAAAAGCGGCCGGGCUCUGCCCAAGGCUGAGCGCCCGGCCCGGCCCCGCCGGCCACUCGCCUGGGGAGGGUUAACACACACGGGGACAAAAUGCCAGCUACAGAGGGACCGGGAGACACCUCGGUGAGUUACUACAGGGGGAGGAGACGCCUCUGCGGGUCGCUCCGGGGAAGCCGCUCCGAACAAACGAGGAGUUCCACUGAAACACCGUCAUUUCGUCAUUAAAAUUCACUCAGCGUUACCCAGAAGUGCCGCCAGGGCCGACCGGCCAGUCCCGGCCCCGCGGGCACCAGGAGGCACGGGCUCGUCCCGGGAGGAGCAGGCGGGGCUGGGGAGGCAGCAGCUGGGGAGGCAGCAGCGUGUCCACCCUCGGCGUGUCCGUGGCCAGAGCUCCGGCUCCAGGUGGGAUCGAACACGGAUCGAACACGGAUCGAACGCGGCGGCUCCCGCGGGCUCUGGGACCGGCAGAACUGAGCCCUCCUUCAGGCAGGGUGACAGCCCCCCGGCCACGGGUGACAGCAGCACAGGAAGGCGAGCUGGAACAGCCAGUCCAGGCCGGGAUCAGCUCCCAGAGCGUCGGGAUCCAGGGCAGGGCUGGCCCCGCUCGGCCGCCAGCGCCGCGGAGUGGAACGUUCGCAGGGAGGUAAUAAAUUAAACUGCCGACCGGCCGGUUUGGUUCUUCUCCUCUCUUCCUUUCUCUUCCCCAUCCGGUUCCGCUCGGCUCCCGAACCCCUCGGAGCGGCUGCCGGGGAGAGACCCUCGGAGCUCGUGUCAAUUAAUUAAUUAAUUAACUGCUGUCAGUCUGGGAGUCGCAUGUUAUAUUCAUACACAGAAAGUAGACAACCACAUCACCCUCCAGAGAAACUAGUGCAUGCAAAUAACUCUUCCAUAGGGGGGGCUGUGCAGGGGGGGGUCGCUAUGACGGACACGCCUAGAGGGGUGGGUUAGUCGGGAUCUCCACAUCGUUACCUCGGGAGCUAAAUCAGUGCUUUGCAUUAAAGUUUUUUUGGCAAACACUCCGCGUUGCCAUCCUUUUCAUUAACACAUCACACCAUGAAGAAAUGCAAAUCUCGAAGCAGCAUGCAGGCAAAAAAAAAAAACCAACAGAAAACCAAAAAAAACAACAAAAAAAAAAAAUAAAAAUAAAACAACCAAAAAAAAAGGAAAGAGCGGCAAAGUGAGAAAAGAAAAUGGCAGCGGGAGGAGUUGGGAGCGGCGGGAUCGCCAAGAGGAGACACAGCAGGUUACAGGGGUUCUGCUUUUUGUUUUGCACCACCCUUUGUCCUCGAUGCAUGACACCAACGGGUACGGAAAGCAAUCACUACAGAGGUCGGGACUCAAUGGCACGGGGGGAUGGGAUGUCUCCUGCACAUGCUUCCACCAGAAAAAAAAAAGAAAAGAAAGUGAAAAUAAAAGUUCCUUUUUCCACAUAAGGCACAGGACAAAGAAACCCCACUCAUGGACUCAAGGCGAAAAAUGAGUGUUUUCCUGGCUCUUGCUGAUGCGUCUAGAGGACACGGGGACUCAAGCACAUGAUCCAUGACAGAAAAUUCCACCGUUGUACAAAAUCAAUUGUUAAUUCUAACUUUUAUUCUUAUACAAUUUGCAGAAGAGUUGAGUAUGAUUGCUCUGGGGUUUAAUGGCAGGAGGGACGGGGCCAUCGUACAACCCAAACGUGGUGGUGAGUUGAGCAGGAACGCGGAAAGAUGAAGUCACGGAGAUGGAUUUCCUAUACAUGUGGUUGAGAAAACUGGAGUAGGCAAAGCUGUCCUAGCCGGAAAACCAGGGGGGAGAGGCAGGAGCUCGUUAAGAUGAGGAACAAAACAUCGGUUUAAGGUUAAAAAACGGGCAGAGUGGUUUGU